UACGUAGGGGGCUAGCGUUGUCCGGAUUUAUUGGGCGUAAAGAGCGUGUAGGCGGCCAACUAAGUCCUGCGUGAAAUCUCGGGGCUCAACCCCGAGCGGUCGUGGGAAACUGGUUGGCUAGAGUGCGGGAGAGGAGAGUGGAAUUCCUGGUGUAGCGGUGAAAUGCGCAGAUAUCAGGAAGAACACCCGUGGCGAAGGCGGCUCUCUGGAACGCAACUGACGCUGAGACGCGAAAGCGUGGGGAGCAAACAGG
rnacentral:rRNA from 1 species